GACGAACGCUGGCGGCGUGCUUAACACAUGCAAGUCGAACGGAAAGGCCCUGCUUUUGUGGGGUGCUCGAGUGGCGAACGGGUGAGUAACACGUGAGUAACCUGCCCUUGACUUUGGGAUAACUUCAGGAAACUGGGGCUAAUACCGGAUAGGAGCUCCUGCUGCAUGGUGGGGGUUGGAAAGUUUCGGCGGUUGGGGAUGGACUCGCGGCUUAUCAGCUUGUUGGUGGGGUAGUGGCUUACCAAGGCUUUGACGGGUAGCCGGCCUGAGAGGGUGACCGGCCACAUUGGGACUGAGAUACGACCCAGACUCCUACAGGAGGCAGCAGUGCUGAAUAUUUCACAAUGGGCGGAAGCCUGAUGCAGCAACGCCGCGUGCGGGAUGACGGCCUUCGGGUUGUAAACCGCUUUCGCCUGUGACGAAGCGUGAGUGACGGUAAUGGGUAAAGAAGCACCGGCUAACUACGUG
rnacentral:rRNA from 1 species